AGGGCAGUGGCGCAAUUGGCAGCGCAGCGGUCUCCAAAACCGCAGGUUGCAGGUUCGAGUCCUGUCUGCCCUGC
rnacentral:tRNA from 1 species